AGCUCCAAUAGCGUAUAUUAAAGUUGUUGCAGUUAAAAAGCUCGUAGUUGGAUUUCUGGGAGGGUGCCAAUGUCCGUCGACGUACGUGUUGCAGCGGCGCCCUUCCAUCCUUCUGUUAACGGCUCUCGGCAUUUAUUUGCUGGUGUCGGGCUCAGAUAUUUUACCUUGAGAAAAUUAGAGUGUUUCAGGCAGGCUAGGCCGGAAUACAUUAGCAUGGAAUAAUGGAAUAGGACUACGGUCUCUUUGUUGGUUUGAGGGACUGCAGUAAUGAUUAAUAGGGAUAGUUGGGGGCAUUAGUAUUUAAUUGUCAGAGGUGGAAUUCUCGGAUUUGUUAAAGACUAACUUAUGCGAAAGCAUUUGCCAAGGAUGUUUUCAUUA
rnacentral:rRNA from 1 species